UUUCCAUGAGAACCUUGUCUUGGUUCAUAAGACAGAGAGCAGCAAUGGACACACCAUCCUCGUUCUUGGUCAAAUACUUGCAAACCGGACCAAGCCCGUAAAUCCUCUCGACGCUGUCGCCGCCGGGAAUAGCACGACUGGAGCAGGUGAGGAUGGAGUAAGACGUAAGAAGACGAAGGAUACGGUCGAGCAUGAUCGGAGCUUCAGGGUUUUUGGUCUGAAGUUGAGAAGCAAUCUCAGAGGGAGACAUCUGAGAAGAGUUCUUGGCCAUGAUCUCGAGAAGAUCGAGGUCUAAAGCCGUUUUUAAAACCAUCGGAAGAACGGAGGCGCUUGCUAGCUGCAUGGCGAAGAGAGCAGCUUCAUCGUCGGUGACUUGCACCGGAGUUAUCUGUGUCUCCUCCGUUGACCCCAUUUUUUUUCUUUAAAUCUUUAAGAUAUUCUUAGAAUGCUUUGUGUUUGAGAGGAUUGUGUGAUGGGUGAGAAGUAGGAGGUUAAGAGGUUUAUUUAUAUGAAAAUAUAUAAAAAAAGGUAGACGACUGACAUAUUUUUAAUUUACUCAGAUUUCUGACAGGCUUAAUUACAUGGUCCAAUUGAAAUAGAGACAAUUCAUUUUUGUAUUUUAUCAUUUAAAUAAGAGACCCUAAUAGGCCAAGAAGAUUAAAUAUGGGGUGUCUGCAGUAAUACGCCCAACAAAUACUUUACGAAUUUAUGGCUCACAGAGGAAUUACAAGGAUCAUUUUCAAUCUAAUUUUACAAAAGAACAGAAAAGGUAACUAAGCCAACUUGGAAAGCCCCUAGCAAUAUAGGAUUGAAAGAAUUCCUUAGAGCAUGAUUAUUGGGAUGUUUUUAGGGUGAGGUUUUUAGCAGAAUAUAAGAACCCGUCUCUUAAUUUUUAACUAAAAAAAAUUUUAAGUAAACACACACACACUCCUUAAGCUUUAACCUAAACUGUUCAACUUUUGGUUCAUCAAUUAUUAGGAUAAUCUGUUUUAAAACUGAUAUCAAGAUUGAACUCUAGUUUAUAUGAUCAGGGCUUUAUCCAGGUCAGUUUAGUUUAAUUGGUGAAUCUGAUGUACAGCCGCUAUGCAAAGAGAACCAGCCGGUUCAAUAGUAGGAAACCAAAACAUAAACCAGAGAUCAUAUAAGUUUUCCAUUUUCUUUUCUUGUUGCUCAAAAACUGGAAGACCGAUUCUCUUCUUAUAUUAGGUUCCGAAUCAACUCCUUAAAUUGUUACUCUUACAUCUUCUCUAUUUUAAGCCAUACUAGAUUUUGACCGGAUUCUUUUUUUUUGAAUGUAAACAAAGUUUAAUAUGAAUAAGUAUUUUAAAAUUGCUAUAUAUUUAUGUUACAAAUUCGUAUUAUACUGAAAAUGAAUAUAUUUAAAACUAUAGAAUUUAUAAAUUAUUUUAUUUAAGACUUUUGUAUGUACACUUUUAUGUAGCUAUUUCUAGGCCUGACAUAUUAUCCGGACCCGAGAAACCAAACUAAAGUUGACUUGAAAAUACAGGUUUGGUUCGGAUCCGGAUCCAGGGUAAAAUACUUAGUGGGUAUUUUUUUUGGACCUGUGGGUCUCGGUUCGAGUCUGAGUUGGGUUUUGGUUUGAAUUUGGAUCCUGCUCGAGAUCCGACUGGGUACCUAAAACCCUAAAAUAUUUUGUGUAUAUUAGGUAUAUUUGCGUAUCUCGAAUAUUUUUUCUGUAUUGCGAAUAUUUUUAAAAAAAUUUGGGUUUGGUUUUCAGGAUAGUUUCAGGUUUUGAAUAAAAUUUCAAUUUUGUUUAAAUUUUGUUUUGGGUAUUCGGGUAAAAUUUUGAGUGUGUUUUUGGUUCUUGCGUUAGAUUUCAGGUAAAAUUUGAGGAAAUAUAAGGUAGAACCAAAAAAAUUAAUUGGUUAAUGAAUAGCUGCAACAAUUUUUUAAGUAGAUUUUUGGAAUGAUUCUUUUUUAAUAGUAUAGAUGGUAAAAAUAAUAGUGGUUCAAAAUAAAGUAUGUAUUGUUAGAGAGCAUUAACUAUGAUUAGUAUAGUUAGAUAAAUAUUAAGAAAUUUAAAGUAGGAUCAAAAAAUUAAUUGGUUAAUGAAUAGGUGCAACAAUUUUUUUUAAGUACAUUAUUAGAGUGAUUCUUUUUUAAUAGUAUAGAUCUUUUUAAUAGUAUAGUUGAAACAAAAAUGAACAAAGAGUGUAUUUUCUAUUGUUAUUUUUCUAGUUCUUCUAGUGGGAUUGUUGAAUUUUCUUCGUAUUAGUUGUAUUGUUUUUGUUGUACAGUAACAAACACAAUUUUCAUCUAUGUAUGGAGCUCAUUUAAUCACUAAAAGAAAUCGUAUAUAAAUAUAAUUUCUUAUUAGUGGACAGCAGGUAUCAAAUACGUGUCAAACGACAUCAUUUUGUCUGUUUUGGCUGAUUGUCACUUGGUGGCCAACUCUCUGACCUUUUACCUUUCAACAAUCGCAUAUUGUUUAUCACAUCAUAGCUUAUGAAACAACAUUAUCAAAAGUAAAGAAGAGUUUUUCUAACUAGAAUUAGCACGAGAUCUAUGAAAAUAAUAUGAGUACUCUCCUUGGUGAUAUAGAAAUACUACUUACCAGCUUUCCAUGAGAACCUUGUCUUGGUUCAUAAGACAGAGAGCAGCAAUGGACACACCAUCCUCGUUCUUGGUCAAAUACUUGCAAACCGGACCAAGCCCGUAAAUCCUCUCGACGCUGUCGCCGCCGGGAAUAGCACGACUGGAGCAGGUGAGGAUGGAGUAAGACGUAAGAAGACGAAGGAUACGGUCGAGCAUGAUCGGAGCUUCAGGGUUUUUGGUCUGAAGUUGAGAAGCAAUCUCAGAGGGAGACAUCUGAGAAGAGUUCUUGGCCAUGAUCUCGAGAAGAUCGAGGUCUAAAGCCGUUUUUAAAACCAUCGGAAGAACGGAGGCGCUUGCUAGCUGCAUGGCGAAGAGAGCAGCUUCGUCGUCGGUGACUUGCACCGGAGUUAUCUGUGUCUCCUCCGUUGACCCCAUUUUUUUUCUUUAAAUCUUUAAGAUAUUCUUAGAAUGCUUUGUGUUUGAGAGGAUUGUGUGAUGGGU
rnacentral:lncRNA from 1 species